rnacentral:lncRNA from 1 species
AUCUUCACCCGCACCUACUCCUCUUCCGGCCGCCAAGACCCCCGCCUUUUUCUAUAGUAGGAUUUUAAGAGGUGAAAGAAGCACAGUGAGAACAAGAUUAACUCGGAUAUAUUCUUUGCUAAGGCUUUACUCCCCACUUCAGGGAGGCAGCCUUCUGUGCUGUGAUUCUUGCCCUGCUGCUUUUCAUCGUGAAUGCCUGAACAUUGAUAUCCCUGAAGGAAACUGGUAUUGCAAUGACUGUAAAGCAGGCAAAAAGCCACACUACAGGGAGAUUGUCUGGGUAAAAGUUGGACGAUACAGGUGGUGGCCAGCUGAGAUCUGCCAUCCUCGAGCUGUUCCUUCCAACAUUGAUAAGAUGAGACAUGAUGUGGGAGAGUUCCCAGUCCUCUUUUUUGGAUCUAAUGACUAUUUGUGGACUCACCAGGCCCGAGUCUUCCCUUACAUGGAGGGUGACGUGAGCAGCAAGGAUAAGAUGGGCAAAGGAGUGGAUGGGACAUAUAAAAAAGCUCUUCA